GCGGGAGUAAUUCAGUGGUAGAAUGGCAGCUUCCCAAGCUGUUCGUCGCCGGUUCGAGUCCGGUCUCCCGCUCCA
rnacentral:tRNA from 3 species